ACGAUGCAUGUAAAAUAUACUUAAUACACAUAAACUGAUUUUGAGUGAAAUAUUUGCUCCUUUUCAUGAAUGCUUUGGAUUGGUUCUGGAAGACAAUUUGGAAGAAAAAAGCAAAAGAGAUUUUGAAGGAUCUUGAAGCCUAAUUUCAACUAUGCUAUCAAUCAAAUUCACAUGAUCCUAGGUCAUUCUGAAGCUUUUACGGAUUCACAUUUUCAUAAAAUAAGAGUCAAGCUAGUCUGAGUAUAGUCUAUUUUGUCUCUUUUUGUAAAUAC
rnacentral:lncRNA from 1 species